UGGAUAUGUUAAUAGCAUAUUCAUUUUGACGUUUAGCUGCAGAAGAAGCACCGGCUAACUCCGUGCCAGCAGCCGCGGUAAUACGGAGGGUGCGAGCGUUAAUCGGAAUUACUGGGCGUAAAGCGCAUGCAGGUGGUUUGUUAAGUCAGAUGUGAAAGCCCGGGGCUCAACCUCGGAAUUGCAUUUGAAACUGGCAAACUAGAGUACUGUAGAGGGGGUAGAAGUUUCAGGUGUAGCGGUGAAAUGCGUAGAGAUCUGAAGGAAUACCGGUGGCGAAGGCGGCCCCCUGGACCAGAUACUGACACUCAGAUGCGAAAGCGUGGGGAGCAAACAGGAUUAGAUACCCUGGUAG
rnacentral:rRNA from 1 species